rnacentral:tRNA from 1 species
ACAAUGGUGGCUCAGUGGUAGAAUUCUCGCCUUCCAUGUUUUUUUUAUGCGAGAGGCCAGGGUUCGAUUCCUGGCCAGUGCG